rnacentral:rRNA from 1 species
UACGAAGGGGGCUAGCGUUGCUCGGAAUCACUGGGCGUAAAGCGCACGUAGGCGGCUUUCUAAGUCAGGGGUGAAAUCCUGGAGCUCAACUCCAGAACUGCCUUUGAUACUGGAAAGCUUGAGUCCGGGAGAGGAGAGUGGAAUUCCUGGUGUAGCGGUGAAAUGCGCAGAUAUCGGGAGGAACACCAGUGGCGAAGGCGGUGCUCUGGGCCGGAACUGACGCUGAGGAGCGAAAGCGUGGGGAGCAAACAGG